GGUGUGACUGCGUACCUUUUGUAUAAUGGGUCAGCGACUUAUAUUCUGUAGCAAGGUUAACCGUAUAGGGGAGCCGGAGGGAAACCGAGUCUUAACCGGGCGUUAAGUUGCAGGGUAUAGACCCGAAACCCGGUGAUCUAGCCAUGGGCAGGUUGAAGGUUGGGUAACACUAACUGGAGGACCGAACCGACUAAUGUUGAAAAAUUAGCGGAUGACCUGUGGCUGGGGGUGAAAGGCCAAUCAAACCGGGAGAUAGCUGGUUCUCCCCGAAAGCUAUUUAGGUAGCGCCUCGUGAAUUCAUCUCCGGGGGUAGAGCACUGUUUCGGCUAGGGGGCCAUCCCGGCUUACCAACCCGAUGCAAACUGCGAAUACCGGAGAAUGUUAUCACGGGAGACACACGGCGGGUGCUAACGUCCGUCGUGAAGAGGGAAACAACCCAGACCGCCAGCUAAGGUCCCAAAGUCAUGGUUAAGUGGGAAACGAUGUGGGAAGGCCCAGACAGCCAGGAUGUUGGCUUAGAAGCAGCCAUCAUUUAAAGAAAGCGUAAUAGCUCACUGGUCGAGUCGGCCUGCGCGGAAGAUGUAACGGGGCUAAACCAU
rnacentral:rRNA from 1 species